rnacentral:misc_RNA from 1 species
AGUUCAUCCUAUACAACCGUUGCAAUUGUCCUAAACUGGUAGGGACAUUUCCCGUGAGCUUAUUUUGAGACAACUCAAGUACACCAAGUUUUGAUGCAUUUGAUAAUGAAACAGGAAUUGGUCCGGUGAAAUCGUUCACUGCACCAGCAAAAACCUCAAGAUUUGGAAGAGUAAGGCCUAUAUCUGAUGGAAGCUCUCCAUACAACAAGUUUUGAGUAACAGAGAAAUAGUAAA